UCACUUUUCACUUCACUUUUUAAAAUAAAGAUGCUGUCAUUUCAUUUUUAGGUGAAUAAACCCCUUAAAAUAAAGAUUGAAAGAGUUGUUGAAGCUUAAUGUUGGUUGACGUUGUCAUUUGUCGUGUACAUGGUGUAAUUUUUUUCAUAAGCUACGGUUAGUUUUUUACUUCUGCCGAUUGUAUUUCAGGCUUCACAGUUGGUGUUUAUUCGUGAAGAUUGUCAUAACAAACAAAACAUGUCAGAAGCUUGUUUUCUGCAAUACAAAAGCCAGUGGUAAGUGGCAGGUCGAGAGGCUUGCAGAAAACGUGAGCAUAUACUAAUCAAUUGUGUAACAUUUGCACAAGUUACCAUUUCCCAGCACAAACUUUUCAUUUCAGUUGAAUGCUAUUGAAGAUGGAGAGUUGGGUUGUUGUAAAAGAAGUCAUUAGUGUUCCACGAGGUUGUUGAGGUACUAAUGGAUUAAUUAUUGUGAAUACAGUUGUGAGGGAGUCAUUAGACAAUAUAAUUUUGUGUAUAAUUCUGUUUGUUGAUAGUAGUAGAAAUUAUUCACAUGACUUCAAGUCAUUGUUCACUAAUAAUCUUCCCAACCACUGCAAAUGUUUGUGCAUUAAGAUAUUUUCUUUUCUUUCUUUCUUUAUACAGUGUAUAUAUAUGUGUGUGUGUGUGUGUGUGUGUGUGUGUAUUUUUUUAAUAUUUUUACUAGGAAAGCUGGCAGUGGAUGGAGCCGCUACACAGUCAUCAACAUUUAUGGGCUGGUUUGCUGAAAGGGCAAAAUGAGACUAACCCGUGGUGGAGGCUGGAUCUGUGUCAAAUUUACAGAGUUAGUAGAGUGGUGGUCACUAACGGAAAAGACUGCUGUACCGAACAAAUCAACGGAGCAGAAAUUCACAUCAGAAACUAUUUGGAGAACAACGGCACAAACAAUCCCAUUUGAGACUCUUGAGUUUGAAAGAAUCAGGUGAGUGCGACAGCUACUCGUGCGGUGGGAUGGAGGGACGUUACGUGAAUCUGAUCAUUCCUGGAGACAUGAAGACACUCAGUCUCUGUGAGGUGGAGGUCUAUGGAGAAGGUCCAGUUUUAAAAAGAUCUUUUGUAAAGAUGCAGUUUAACUCCAGAGUUGAUUUAACUGACCCCUCCGUGAGAGAAAAUGUUCUGAAACAGGUCUUUGUGGUGGACGAUAACACAGUGGAAAUCAACACUUUGUCUCUAUUUCACAAACUUUACGUUUUUUAAAGACAUUAAUUCUGAUUCUAAAUGCAUUGCCUUAAAUUUCUUUAUAAUUAUGCUUACAAUGAAAAAAAAAAAAAACUUCUGCUUCCUUCCUUUUAGUGCUUAUUCACAUAUUUGAAAAUUAUAAAACUUCUUGUCUAACUGUGUAUUGUAAACAAAUAGAGAUAGUAAUACAUAUAAUGAACAUAAUCAAAUCAAUGUUAAAUGUACAUUCAUACAACCCACAAGUGUGAUUUUAAUAUGUCAGUUGUGUAUUCACUGUCACAGGCUAUUUUAUUUUUAUUGUAGUAUCUAUAUAUUGUUUUAUUUAUUUACUAUUUUUCCUGCCAUUUUGUGUUGUUGGAACUGUGAUGAGGUGAACAGAAUCUCACGUGAAUGGAAAGAGAACAGCACAAGUGUUCACUGUUGUCCAAUGACUUGCCUAAUAAACCUAAACCUAACUUAAUUAACCUAAUUAGUCCUCUAUGCCUUUAAAUUGCACUUUAUGCUGAGGAUUAGUAUCUUACAAAACAACUAGUAAAAUAAUAUGUACUGUACUGUCAACAUGACAAAAUAAAUAGUUUAGACAUGAGAAAAAAAUUAUUGAU